UCAAACAGCGUCGGAACGACGUAGAAUGCGGUCGAUCUUGUCUGGGAGGACGCGGUCUUCGGCGCGCAACAAGCGCAGCCCCGGACAAGUCCGGUGGAAGAUCCGGAUCGACCAUCUCGAAUGCGGGGCGCGAGCCCCGCAUUUUUUU
rnacentral:sRNA from 1 species